rnacentral:misc_RNA from 1 species
AAUGCACCUUGCGCCUUUUGGUAUUCCAAGAGGCACGCCUGUUUGAGUGUUAUGAAUUCUCAACCCUAUUGUUUUUUUUAUUAAAUGGUAGUGGCUUGGAUCUUGAGUGCUGCUGUGUUCAACAGCUCACUUUAAAUAAAUGAGCCAUCUUGUUAUUUUAUGGAUCGACUCAAUGUAAUAAGAUUUUUCAUUGAGGAUGCCCUUACAAGCAACCAAAUUAUAACAGUAGCUUCUAAUUUUGCUUUUGCAUUUUUAUCUUUUAAACCUCAAAUCAGGCGGGACUACCCGCUGAACUUAA